AUUGAACGCUGGCGGCAUGCUUUACACAUGCAAGUCGAACGGCAGCGCGGGCUUCGGCCUGGCGGCGAGUGGCGAACGGGUGAGUAAUACAUCGGAACGUGCCCAGUAGUGGGGGAUAGCUCGGCGAAAGCCGGAUUAAUACCGCAUACGACCUGAGGGUGAAAGCGGGGGAUCUUCGGACCUCGCGCUAUUGGAGCGGCCGAUGGCAGAUUAGCUAGUUGGUGGGGUAAAGGCCUACCAAGGCGACGAUCUGUAGCUGGUCUGAGAGGACGACCAGCCACACUGGGACUGAGACACGGCCCAGACUCCUACGGGAGGCAGCAGUGGGGAAUUUUGGACAAUGGGCGAAAGCCUGAUCCAGCAAUGCCGCGUGUGUGAUGAAGGCCUUCGGGUUGUAAAGAACUUUUGGCGGGAACGAAAAGGACUGGGCCAAUACCACGGUUCGAUGACGGUACCCGCAGAAUAAGCACCGGCUAACUACGUG
rnacentral:rRNA from 1 species